rnacentral:rRNA from 1 species
AUACGGAGGGGGUUAGCGUUGUUCGGAAUUACUGGGCGUAAAGCGCACGUAGGCGGAUUGGAAAGUUGGGGGUGAAAUCCCAGGGCUCAACCCUGGAACUGCCUCCAAAACUAACAGUCUAGAGUUCGAGAGAGGUGAGUGGAAUUCCAAGUGUAGAGGUGAAAUUCGUAGAUAUUUGGAGGAACACCAGUGGCGAAGGCGGCUCACUGGCUCGAUACUGACGCUGAGGUGCGAAAGCGUGGGGAGCAAACAGGAUUAGAUACCCCGGUAGUCC